rnacentral:other from 1 species
CAUAUCCUGAUAUGUGCGUAUGGUUUGUAAUUCUUUGAGCCAACACCUUAAAAAAGGGAGCUUGCCGUUACAGAUCUGAUUACAUGCUCGGUAGCUGAGGACUUAAAAUGAUUGGUACAAAGCACCCACCUGCCUGGCAGGUUCAAAGCUUCAUUUUCCUACGGCAUGAUCGGGAUAUUG